UACAGAGGUGGCAAGCGUUGUUCGGAAUUACUGGGCGUAAAGGGCGCGUAGGCGGCCUACUAAGUCAGACGUGAAAUCCCCCGGCUUAACCUGGGAACUGCGUCCGAUACUGGAUGGCUUGAAUCCGGGAGAGGGAUGCAGAAUUCCAGGUGUAGCGGUGAAAUGCGUAGAUAUCUGGAGGAAUACCGGUGGCGAAGGCGGCAUCCUGGACCGGCAUUGACGCUGAGGAGCGAAAGCCAGGGGAGCAAACGGG
rnacentral:rRNA from 1 species